rnacentral:piRNA from 1 species
UGGAAAAAGAAUUUCUAAGCAAAUGGU